rnacentral:rRNA from 1 species
GACGUAGGGCGCGAGCGUUGUCCGGAUUUAUUGGGCGUAAAGAGCUCGUAGGCGGCUUGUUGCGUCGGCUGUGAAAACCCGCGGCUUAACCGUGGGCUUGCAGCCGAUACGGGCAGACUGGAGUGUGGUAGGGGAGAUCGGAAUUCCGUGGUGUAGCGGUGAAAUGCGCAGAUAUCAGAGGAACACCGGUGGCGAAGGCGGAUCUCGUGGGC